rnacentral:Y_RNA from 1 species
GGCUAGUCCUAGGGUACUCAGUUAUCUCAAUUGAUCACCAUCAGUUACAUAGUGAAUUCCUUGUUAUAUUCUUCCCCCUUUUUCACUACUAAACUUGACUACUCUUAA